rnacentral:rRNA from 1 species
GACGAACGCUGGCGGCGUGCUUAACACAUGCAAGUCGAACGAGAAGAGGUGAGAAGCUUGCUUCUUAUUGAUUCGAGUGGCAAACGGGUGAGUAACGCGUAAGCAACCUGCCCUUCAGAUGGGGACAACAGCUGGAAACGGCUGCUAAUACCGAAUACGUUCUUUUGUCGCAUGGCAGAGAGAAGAAAGGGAGGCUCUUCGGAGCUUUCGCUGAAGGAGGGGCUUGCGUCUGAUUAGCUAGUUGGAGGGGUAACGGCCCGUACCAAGGCGACGAUCAGUAGCCGGUCUGAGAGGAUGAACGGCCACAUUGGGACUGAGACACGGCCCAGACUCCUACGGGAGGCAGCAGUGGGGAAUCUUCCGCAAUGACGAAAGUCUGACGAGCAACGCCGCGUGAACGAUGACGGCCUC